GCUGUCUUGAUGUCGCCGAUGUUUGUCUGUUGUACCACAUAUUUUAAUAUUAUAAAAUUUGUAUUUACAUUGAAAAGUUCCAGACUAGUGGGAAUCACAAUGGACCUACAGUGAGCACCCUGGCAAGGAAUAUGUUCAAGCUUAUAGCUUCCAGCUAUUGCUGGAAAAUGGAAAUUUCUAUAAUGAUAUGGAGGCCAACAAAGACUCCAGAGGAUGUCUGGCAGCGCCUCAUAGGGCUAUCCUGCCCUCGACUCCCAGUCUACCAGCCGCGCCGGUCCGUCGCCUAAUCACAACUCCAACCCGGUCAACCGCAACAGGAGCCACAAGAAUGUGAGGUGGUGCUGGAGAUGAAGGUGAUCGAA